GUGUGUUUGCAGGACAGCGCGCUAGCCUUUUGGAAGCACGGACUAGGAGGAAGAAGCCUGUGCAAGAAUGAGGUGACCCAGGAGAUAACAGACAAGAGCCGUGUAUUCAAGGUCUUGGGGACAAGCAGGGACAUCAUCCUGCAGAGUACGCCCACAGAGGACCCCUCUGCAGCCAGCAACCUCUACAUCCUCACUGGCCAUGAGAGCAGCUAUUGAGGAAGACAGACAGCAAGGGAAGCCAGUGGACAAAACGCUAACAGAGCAAGAUGGAGCCCUAACCACGUGGCGUAACGUUUGACUCAGAUCUGGCCUGGGUGACUAGUCGUCAGCCUCCAGCCUCCAUGUUGUCUGAGACGUGGAUGGGGAUGGAUGAGCACAGUACAGCACACAGUGUACCCCACAAACAGCCUCUCUGCUGGGGGUGUACAGCAGGCAGCGAUCACAUUCUCCUCAGAGUAACACAGUGUAGCUGAGAGCCCCCUCAGCGAGCCCCCAAGUUGGUCUUCGGAGGAGCUCCCAGUGUGUGGGUCUAUGCUCAGCGGUGUGUUGAGCCGACCGGGGAGUGUGGCUUAACCUGACACUGUAUUCCCCCCCCUCUCGUUUCUAUACAAUGCCCCUCUGUGGGGCUUAAAGGGCAGCUUGUGAGGUGGCGUGACAUGAGGCCUUGAAGAGGCGCUAGAGGAAGGUGUGGUGCUGGACAACACCCUACCUGGACAUGACCAAGAGACGAGCCAGCAAACACACUCAAGACCGGGACACUGUUGGGGAAAGUUGCGAAGAAGUGUGUACUCAGCUCUUGGGAUUUUCCUACUUCUUUUUCUUUCAAUGGUUUGCCAGUGGGGGAAAAAAACCCUCCUGGCUAAUGUUGCACUCAGGCAAGCCGAGCGUAAAAUCUGGAGUGAACUAUCGCUGGUUAUACACACCGAGCCCCCGAGCCCAGCUCAGCCACGGCGUGACCAUCAGUCAUCCGAUCUUUCAUCAGCCCAUGCCAAAGUGUCACCAGCAUAUCUCUCUCCCCCAACUCGCCGCCAGUAAUGGAGGAAAGAGUUGGCAUGGGAGUAAGACCAGCAUUACAGUACACUAACCAUAAAACAAUAUCACGCUUGCUCCAGUGACUCCCACACACCAUAUUUAUGAGCUCUGCGAUUAUUUUCCAGGGCUAUCUCUGGAAAGGUGUGAGAACCCCGGGCAUGGGUCACGAUGAACAUGCCGGUGGCUCCAAUAAAAGUGACUACUGCUCAUACCUCGAAUGCUGGAAGGCCGCGAGGGUGGACGGCCGAGAAUGUUGGAUGAUGAAGUAGCAGAGUGUUUUAGGUGUGUGUGUGUGUGUGUGUGUGUGUGUGUGCGUGUGCGUGUGCGUGUGCGUGUGCGUGUGCGCGUGCGCGUGCGCGUGCGCAUGCGUACGUUUUGGGAGGUGUGUGCGCGUGUGUGUGUGUCAGAGAGAGAGAGAGGGCAGGGAAGGGAGGAGGGAUUUUCCUCUGUUUGCACUGUGAGCUCAUUUGUCAUGGGGUAGACCGGCCAGCUAGCCACCUAUGACAUCACUCCUUACUUUGGGAAAGGGGGUGUGGGGGGAUACAACAUUCCCUUUGU